rnacentral:misc_RNA from 1 species
GUUAUCAACGAUCCGCAGGC